rnacentral:rRNA from 1 species
UACAGAGGUCCCAAGCGUUGUUCGGAUUCACUGGGCGUAAAGGGUGCGUAGGUGGCCGGGUAAGUCUGACGUGAAAUCUCCGAGCCUAACUCGGAAACUGCAUCGGAUACUAUCCGGCUUGAGGGUUGGAGGGGGGACUGGAAUACUUGGUGUAGCAGUGAAAUGCGUAGAUAUCAAGUGGAACACCAGUGGCGAAGGCGAGUCCCUGGACAACUCCUGACACUGAGGCACGAAAGCUAGGGGAGCAAACAGG